rnacentral:rRNA from 1 species
UACGAAGGGGGCUAGCGUUGCUCGGAAUUACUGGGCGUAAAGCGCACGUAGGCGGCUUCUUAAGUCGGUGGUGAAAUCCUGGAGCUCAAACUCCAGAACUGCCUUCGAUACUGGGAGCUCGAGUCCGGGAGAGGUGAGUGGAACUGCGAGUGUAGAGGUGAAAUUCGUAGAUAUUCGCAAGAACACCAGUGGCGAAGGCGGCUCACUGGCCCGGUACUGACGCUGAGGUGCGAAAGC